rnacentral:rRNA from 1 species
UACGGAGGGGGCAAGCGUUGUUCGGAAUUACUGGGCGUAAAGGGCUCGUAGGCGGCCAACUAAGUCAGACGUGAAAUCCCUCAGCUUAACUGGGGAACUGCGUCUGAUACUGGAUGGCUUGAGUUUGGGAGAGGGACGCGGAAUUCCAGGUGUAGCGGUGAAAUGCGUAGAUAUCUGGAGGAACACCGGUGGCGAAGGCGGCGUCCUGGACCAACACUGACACUGAUGAGCGAAAGCCAGGGGAGCAAACGGG